AUGAACGCUGGCGGCGUGCCUCAUACAUGCAAGUCGAGCGAACAGACGAGGAGCUUGCUCCUCUGACGUUAGCGGCGGACGGGUGAGUAACACGUGGAUAACCUACCUAUAAGACUGGGAUAACUUCGGGAAACCGGAGCUAAUACCGGAUAAUAUAUUGAACCGCAUGGUUCAAUAGUGAAAGACGGUUUUGCUGUCACUUAUAGAUGGAUCCGCGCCGCAUUAGCUAGUUGGUAAGGUAACGGCUUACCAAGGCAACGAUGCGUAGCCGACCUGAGAGGGUGAUCGGCCACACUGGAACUGAGACACGGUCCAGACUCCUACGGGAGGCAGCAGUAGGAAAUCUUCCGCAAUGGGCGAAAGCCUGACGGAGCAACGCCGCGUGAGUGAUGAAGGUCUUCGGAUCGUAAAACUCUGUUAUUAGGGAAGAACAAAUGUGUAAGUAACUAUGCACGUCUUGACGGUACCUAAUCAGAAAGCCACGGCUAACUACGUG
rnacentral:rRNA from 1 species